AGUGAACGCUGGCGGUAGGCCUAACACAUGCAAGUCGAACGGCAGCACAGUAAGAGCUUGCUCUUACGGGUGGCGAGUGGCGGACGGGUGAGGAAUACAUCGGAAUCUACUUUUUCGUGGGGGAUAACGUAGGGAAACUUACGCUAAUACCGCAUACGACCUACGGGUGAAAGCAGGGGAUCUUCGGACCUUGCGCGAUUGAAUGAGCCGAUGUCGGAUUAGCUAGUUGGCGGGGUAAAGGCCCACCAAGGCGACGAUCCGUAGCUGGUCUGAGAGGAUGAUCAGCCACACUGGAACUGAGACACGGUCCAGACUCCUACGGGAGGCGGCAGUGGGGAAUAUUGGACAAUGGGCGCAAGCCUGAUCCAGCCAUACCGCGUGGGUGAAGAAGGCCUUCGGGUUGUAAAGCCCUUUUGUUGGGAAAGAAAAGCAGCAGGUUAAUACCCCGCUGUUCUGACGGUACCCAAAGAAUAAGCACCGACUAACUUCGUG
rnacentral:rRNA from 1 species